UUGCCAAACCCAUCCCCAGCUUGUUUUUUUUUUUAAUGUAAACAAUCACUACCUCGACCUGUCAAGAUGCCGAUUCCCACCAUCAGGCUACUUGCCGCUUCGAAUACCACUGGUACCGCAAAAGUGCUCACUCAAGACGAACUUUGUCUUUCUUGACCAGCUCUUAAUGUUUGAUUAAUCCUACCGCGCACUUAAGAAUGAUUAGCACCAGUAUGAUCGAUCAUUCGGAUCAGGUUUUAGUAUGUCUGGGAGAAUUGUGCACAUCGGUUGAUUAUUCCGAUGUAACAUUCCUGGUACAGAACGAGCAGAUUCCAGCGCAUCGUGCAAUUUUAGCAGCUCGGUCCGAGUACUUCCGGGCACUACUGUACGGUGGGCUGAAGGAGAGCAACCAGAGCAAAAUAACGCUUGAUGUCUCUUCGACCGCUUUCAAGCAGCUGCUCCGGUACAUCUACACCGGCUCCUUGGAGUUGCAGGACAUGGAGGUGGACGACAUACUGACCUUGCUCGGAUUAGUCCACCAAUAUGGCAUCACUGCCUUCGUGAAAGCCAUCUCAGACUACCUGUAUGGCGUGUUGACUGUGGCCAACGUGUGUACCAUUGCAGACGAGGCCCGCCUGCUCGAUCUGGCGGAAUUGGCGGAUAAAUGUUACGAAUUUAUUGAUGGAAAUGCGUGUAGCGUAAUCAAACACGAUUCUCUAAGCAAUCUGUCGUUCGACACGCUUGUCAUGGUGCUCGGUCGUGAAAGGUUCAAGCACAUCGAAGAGAUCGAAAUUUUCCAAGCCGUUCACAAAUGGUGCAACAAUAACGAUGUAGCGGAAGAAAAGAAAACAUAUCUUUAUGGGAGAGUACGAUAUACAGCGAUAUCUCGAAACAAUCUACUGCAAAUAGUGCGACCUACCGGUGUUGUUAAUACCGAACAUCUGCUGAACAUAAUUUCCAUCCAGGAUGGAAUCGGUCUACAUCCCUAUCAACCCCCACCAGGCAAAAGUGAGUUUGUAAAAACGAACAAAAAAUGGUUUCAAUUAGCAAUCCUAGUAGCUGCUUACUGUGUACUAGCUUACUGUAAUCUUUGUAUCCCCAGCAAGAAAUAAAGAUGUGGCUGCUAACGCCAAGGUGACGUCUGGCUGGACAAGUUCAUCGAGCAUACUUUGACCUGCGAAAACCAUACAUAAUCAAUUACGUUCAUCUUACUCUCGUUCUCUCCAACGAAAAGCUUUGUAGACCAGGAUCAUAUUCUUACCGGCCAGUGAAUUUCUGUGUGUUCCUUAGCGGCAAAUUGAACCUAAUUUUUCUAAGACAACUCAAAACCAGUUUGAACGUCUUCAUAUUAACACUGAUAAAAAUCACCAUGCUUGAGAAACACUGACUUGGCUUUGAAAUUUGAACACGUGCACGUAGCUGCGUAUACAAAAAAAGCAUAGAAUUAUCUGGAAUUUUUAAUCGUUUAAACAACACGAAGAAAGGAUUAGAAAUAAAGUCGAUUGUUUCAACCAGCUUCAAAAGUAAAACUUUAAACGUUAGCAAAUUUAUCUACUUCCCACGCGUGUUGUUUACAAACAACGCCUCAUACUAUUCUCCGCCUACUGCGUCUCACACGCAACCGUUUGUUAUUCGCAUCAACAGUAAAUUCCAUUCAGCAUUAUUGCCAGUCACUGAGCCAGCCAAGUGUACCGUGUGCCGAUCCUACCGGAAGGAAGAAGAACCGUGUACAAAGA